UACGGAGGGUGCAAGCGUUAUCCGGAUUUACUGGGUUUAAAGGGUGCGUAGGCGGGCCCUUAAGUCAGUGGUGAAAGCUCCGAGCUUAACUCGGAAACUGCCAUUGAUACUAUAGGUCUUGAAUCGGUCGAGGUUGGCGGAAUGUGUCGGUGUAGCGGUGAAAUGCUUAGAUAUGACACAGAACACCGAUGCGAAGGCAGCUAGCUAGACCGACAUUGACGCUGAGGCACGAAAGCGUGGGGAUCAAACAGG
rnacentral:rRNA from 1 species